rnacentral:rRNA from 1 species
UAGGGAAUCUUCGGCAAUGGGGGCAACCCUGACCGAGCAACGCCGCGUGAGUGAAGAAGGUUUUCGGAUCGUAAAGCUCUGUUGUAAGAGAAGAACGAGUGUGAGAGUGGAAAGUUCACACUGUGACGGUAACUUACCAGAAAGGGACGGCUAACUACGUGCCAGCAGCCGCGGUAAUACGUAGGUCCCGAGCGUUAUCCGGAUUUAUUGGGCGUAAAGCGAGCGCAGGCGGUUAGAUAAGUCUGAAGUUAAAGGCUGUGGCUUAACCAUAGUACGCUUUGGAAACUGUUUAACUUGAGUGCAAGAGGGGAGAGUGGAAUUCCAUGUGUAGCGGUGAAAUGCGUAGAUAUAUGGAGGAACACCGGUGGCGAAAGCGGCUCUCUGGCUUGUAACUGACGCUGAGGCUCGAAAGCGUGGGGAGCAAACAGGAUUAGAUACCCUGGUAGUCCACGCCGUAAACGAUGAGUGCUAGGUGUUAGACCCUUUCCGGGGUUUAGUGCCGCAGCUAACGCAUUAAGCACUCCGCCUGGGGAGUACGACCGCAAGGUUG